UCCCUGAGACCCUAACUUGUGAGUGAUUGGAAUAAACUUAUCACAGGCUAGAUUCUCAGGUAU
rnacentral:pre_miRNA from 1 species